AAUCCAGGAGCACCCGCUGUGGGCAUGGCCCAGGUAUCUGAGCCUGGACCCAAACCCUCAGCUUCCGCAGCGUCAAAGUGGCCCAGUCAACUCCUUCUCCCUCUUUACUCCCCCAGGCAUCAAAUGUCUGCAGGAAGAGACACAGGUUGCCUUUUGGGACCCCAGGGAAAAACACACCACCAGCUUAGCUCCUGGACCUUCCUCACUGUCCCCUCCCAUUCUAGCCUCCCUUGACCCAGAUGCCCUGCUGCUGCUGCCCUGGGUCUUGGGGCAGGCCCUGGGGACCCUGCAGCCCUGUUGAAUCCUGGCUUGAGGUACUGAGGAAACCGUCUUCUUUCUCUGUUUCCGAAACCCCUCCAAGGCAGUUUCCUCUUCCCCCGCUCCUGAUCCUGCUCUUUUCCCCUUCGGAAUGUGCCUCUCCCUCCUCGCUGUCACCGUUCUCUGCGCCAUAUCUCCCGUAAUAAAAACCAGUCCUCGAGUGGCAUCUGUGCCCCUCCCAACAGUUUAGGGCCAUUAUAUUAAAUAAUGAUAAUCACAA